rnacentral:rRNA from 1 species
AACGAACGCUGGCGGCAGGCCUAACACAUGCAAGUCGAACGCGUGUAGCAAUACACGAGUGGCAGACGGGUGAGUAACACGUGGGAACGUGCCCUUCGGUUCGGAAUAACUCAGGGAAACUUGAGCUAAUACCGGAUACGCCCUUACGGGGAAAGAUUUAUCGCCGAUGGAUCGGCCCGCGUCUGAUUAGCUAGUUGGUGAGGUAACGGCUCACCAAGGCGACGAUCAGUAGCUGGUCUGAGAGGAUGAUCAGCCACACUGGGACUGAGACACGGCCCAGACUCCUACGGGAGGCAGCAGUGGGGAAUAUUGGACAAUGGGCGAAAGCCUGAUCCAGCCAUGCCGCGUGAGUGAUGAAGGCCCUAGGGUUGUAAAGCUCUUUCGGCGGGGACGAUAAUGACGGUACCCGCAGAAGAAGCCCCGGCUAACUUCGUGCCAGCCGCCGCCGUAAUAC